ACGAUUUAAAAAAUAAAUAAAUGGACAUGACAUGCAAGUGCUAAAAAUAAUGAAAGAAAUAAUAGAAUAACAAGAAUACCAAAAAAAUAAAAAUAAAAUAAAAAUGACAAUAAUAAAGAAAAAAUUACGCUAAUAAAAGCAUGUAUGCAAUCUAAUUCUUAAGUGUAAAAAAAUUACGCUAGUAGUUAAGUCAAUGGUACCAUUGAAGGCCCCCCAGGAUCUUAUGGUUUUCCACCACUAUUUUUUCAGCGGUUUUGGCAUAUUGUUGGUGAUGAGG
rnacentral:lncRNA from 1 species